rnacentral:rRNA from 1 species
AUUGAACGCUGGCGGCAUGCCUUACACAUGCAAGUCGAACGGUAACAGGUCUUCGGAUGCUGACGAGUGGCGAACGGGUGAGUAAUACAUCGGAACGUGCCCGAUCGUGGGGGAUAACGGAGCGAAAGCUUUGCUAAUACCGCAUACGAUCUACGGAUGAAAGCAGGGGACCGCAAGGCCUUGCGCGGACGGAGCGGCCGAUGGCAGAUUAGGUAGUUGGUGGGAUAAAAGCUUACCAAGCCGACGAUCUGUAGCUGGUCUGAGAGGACGACCAGCCACACUGGGACUGAGACACGGCCCAGACUCCUACGGGAGGCAGCAGUGGGGAAUUUUGGACAAUGGGCGCAAGCCUGAUCCAGCCAUGCCGCGUGCAGGAUGAAGGCCUUCGGUUGUAACUUAGCUUUGUACGGUAACGAAAGACGUACUUCUAAUAAAGUAGGUCGACUGACGGUACCGUAACGGAAUAAGUACACCGGCCGUAACUAACCGUGUCCACGCGGCCGGCGGUACGUA